rnacentral:rRNA from 1 species
UACGGAGGGUGCGAGCGUUGUUCGGAAUCACUGGGCGUAAAGGGCGUGUAGGCGGUCCGCUAAGGCUGAUGUGAAAGCCCGGGGCUCACCCCCGGAAGGGCAUUGGAAACUGACGGACUCGAGUCCCGAAGAGGAGGGUGGAAUUCCUGGUGUAGCGGUGAAAUGCGUAGAUAUCAGGAGGAACACCGGUGGCGAAGGCGGCCCUCUGGACGGUGACUGACGCUGAGACGCGAAAGCGUGGGGAGCAAACAGG